UAGAAUGGACAAAGGUAAUCUAACGCUCUAUCUUUUCCUUUCUUUUCUGCGUCUCUUUCGAUCUCUUUCUGCGUCUCUUUAUUUUCUACAGAUCUCAGAAGAAAAAAUUAAUCUCUCAUCUCUCUCCCUCUCUCCCUCUCUCUCUCUCCAUGUCUCUGUUUCGAUCUCCUCUCCUCUCAGUCCCAAGGGUUUUUACUGAUUCGAAGUGUUAAACACAGAUCUUGUCUUGUCUCGAGACUCACUUUCCUUCUGUCUCACUUUGGAUUAGGGUUUCGAUUUGUCCUCACUAUUCUGCAUCAAUGGGUCUCGAUUAGGGUUUCAGAGAUUUAAUGGUUAGUUUGGAUGCUAAAGCUGCUUGAGCCAAUCUGAUUGCUGUUCCUUCUAGAAAUAGAAGUUUAUUUGCAGGUAAGGGCAUGAAGAAGAUCGUUUGACCUCCACACCACCACGACAGUUAAAAAAGGCGGAAGAGGCUGAAGAAGCUUGCUGGUGGUGGUAUUGGCGUCAACUAUGGUGGUCUCGGCGUCAACAGUGGUCGUCUCGACAUCGUCAAUGGUAGCUUAGCGCAGUGGAGGAGGGGAGGAGGCUGAAUAAGCUUUACUGUGGUGUUCUAGGCUGGUGGUCUCGGCCUUAAAGAUGAAGAAACCAAAGAAACUGAAAUUGACGGCAAAAAGUUUAGAUGUAGGGUUAAUUUUUGGUUAGGUUAAGCUUUAGGUUUACAUUUCUAAACCAAGUUUUGUAAACCAGAAUUUAUUUGUAAACCAGAAUUAAAUUACUAAAUAAAAUUUUAUUUUAAUUA